CUCCAAUAGCGUAUAUUAAAAGUUGUUGCGGUUAAAAAAGCUCGUAGUUGGAUUUCUGCCGAGGACGACCGGUCCGCCUCUGGGUGAGCAUCUGGCUCGGCCUGGGCAUCUUCUUGGAGAACGUAUCUGCACUUGACUGUGUGGUGCGGUAUUCAGGACUUUUACUUUGAGGAAAAUUAGAGUGUUUCAAGCAGCAUACG
rnacentral:rRNA from 1 species